rnacentral:lncRNA from 1 species
AUAAUUUAUACACCAGAUCUGCUUAAUUAAAGGGUUACUUCAAGUACUAUUGAUUUGGAUCAAAGAAAACUUUGAUAAUUUGUCUAUCUACACCUUCCAAAUUGAUUAAUUAAUGCGUGCACGCUUUCCCUAGAAGUAAUUCACACCAGAGACAAAGUUUCUGAUCAGUGAAAAACCAAGGAAUGCUUUAUUCCCUGGAUUGGGAGUUCCUUUUAAAGCAGAAAUACGUCAUAUACAGAGUUACAGUUAAACAUACAAUAUACAUUCAACAAUUGGUUAACAGUCUAAGGGGUCUUGUCUAAACCCCCCCUACAGGAUGUAGUGUCGUCAUUACAGACUUUUCCCACCUAUAUUGGAUACACGAUGGGAGGGGGAGGGAGUAGUUUCUUUAACAGUGAUUCUCUAUUUUGUUAGCUGUUACUUUGCACAAAGGAAGUGGGGGAGGAGUUAGUAAAGGAAGCUGUUAACACAGGAAUUUUGGUUACACGAAGCUUGCUCUGAUGGGAAGGGGGAUGCUAGCAGGACGCGAGGAAUUUACAGAGAGAAAAUAGUGCCUGAACACAUUGUAGGGGGGAAGGGAAUAUUUACUCUAGCAGCCAGUUUUAACAUAGUGAACACAGAAUAAAUAGACAUUAGUAAAUAGCCAUUUUAUUUUAAUUCAUCUGUCCAUAACAGUCCCCCCUUAAAAUGGCAAUUUUACUAGAAACUACUAUCUCUCACUCUAAUACUGUCCCUAUAGAAAAAUAACAAAGGCUAUCUUGCACAUCUGUCUGAACAGGCCUCGAACGCUUCACUGCGCAGGUGACCCGUAGCAGCUUGUCCACUACUUCUCCCGUGACAGACUUCUGCCCGUAGAGACAGACGCUAUCCCUGAAUGUCCUUAAGAGGAAGUAGCUGUUGAUCUAGUGCGGUGGGACUGUAAGGGUGUAUGUGGUGUAUCACGGUCUAUGUCGUCAAUCUCUUGGUGAAGGAAGGUCGGGGUGGUCAACUGAUCAACUGUCUUUUGUAGGCAUUUCUUAACAACAAACAAGAAGAGCGAGGAUGAUUAUCAUUAUUAAAAUGGCAACACCUAUUUGGGCCAGAGCACCUUGCCAUCCAGACAUCCAUCCAAACCAUCUUUCCCAUGGAUCUGUGGCCCCAGAAUUUCGUUUCAGCUCGUUGGACAAGCUCUUUAACUUUUCUAUUGCCAACGUUACCUUACCAUUAGGGCCUGUAUUAUCUGGAAUAUAGGUACAGCAUGUUAUGGUGUCUGGGAGUAUUUUACAUACUCUCCCUUUUCCUGCCAAAAUCAUUUCCAAGCUUAUUCUAUUCUGGAAGGUCAUCUGAGAGGUAGUUUGUAACCGCCCUAUCCCACCAUAUAUCCCAUAACAAGUAUAGUUCAAUGGAUAUAUAGUAAUGCCUUCGUCUGGGUUAAUAUUUUUAGUAAUGAUUGGGUAUUAAGUUUCCAUGACUCGCAUGCUGACCGCUUAGGUUUAAAUACAGUGUAGAGACUUAAAACGCAUACUUCAUAUCCGGAGGAAGGUUCAGGGAUACUGUACCUGGGUGAGGCCUCGCUCCUCCGCAGACAUAGCAUUUAGACUUGUUAUGUUUAGUAGCAUUGUAUUUCAUCCAUUCAAGUCACAAGUUAGUGUCAGAGAAACCUGUCUCUACAGCCCUAGUAUCCUCAAAUAUGGGAUGACUACCAUGUCUUUUAAAGUCCUAAUGUGUGGUUUGAGGGGAUUAACAGUCAUGUGCGUGGCACCUACCCAUUCAGCUGAGUCAUACAUGUCUUGUAAGAAAAGGUCUCCUGUUUAUUGUAUAAACCUCUUCCCUUCCAAUUCAGAUUUUAUUAGCCGUAAUGCUUGGGGGAAUAGAUUCAAACUUAGUUUCUUACCUUAAAAUCAUUUGGUACCCCCCUUGACACCCCUAUGGCAUUAAUAUAUAUAUAUAUAUGUGGGUAAAACCACCCUUUAUAGGGGUACUCCUUUUUGCCCUGAAGCAUGAAUGAGGUGUGUCAAGAGUACCUUGGGGAUUGCCAUGUGUUAUGUGUAUGGACAUAAUAACCUUGGCUAGGGCACAUUUACUUAUUCUUAAUCUUAGAAAUCUUGUCUCAUGCUACCCUAGUACUGGCAGAUUCAGAUCAUUUAAACAUUCAAUAUUAAUAUCACCACAAACUCAAAAUAAGCAGAUGAUCCUGAAGAAGCUUUGACUGUGCGUAUGGCACCUCAGACGUGAGGGCUGCAGGGUAAAAAGUAUGUCUGUUUCUCUUUAGUUUCACGAGGUCCCCUUUUGGGGUAUUCGGCUUUCCAUCGAUGGCAGGUGGUCAGGCAUUAUUAUGGCCAUCAAAACACCCACUUGUUGAUAUUUAUUUAUUUAUUUAUUUUCAACAAGUAUAUUUGUUCUCUAAGAAUGGAGUUUCAAAAAGGGUUGUCAAGAUCAACAAAUGUUACUUCACAUGAUGCAGAGGCAGGCUUGAUUCUGGAAUGAUGAAUGCACGGGGUGAUC